AAGCUUGACUGAUGAGUAUUAACUUCUGAGCCUGUGUAGUAAAAGCUGGCUACUAAGCCCACAGGCAAAGCACCAAAUCCUCACCCAUGAUCACUUUCUCAGAAAAACAAAGUCUAUUGGGCAAGGCUUCAAAGGGCAAGGCUUCACGUCUUAAAGGUUCCACAGUCUUCUAAAACAGCACCCUAGUUAAAGACCAGUUCUUCAAACACAUGAAGCUAUGGGAGGUGGGUCACAUUCAGACCACAGUCAUCUUUAUGUAACUUUAUCCUCUUCUUUAGCCAAACUAUUCUAUCUUAUGCUGAGUUUGUGUAUAGUUUUCAAGGACAGCUCACAAAAGGGUGGGGGGACCUUUAAAACUUUCCCAGACUGUAGGCGACAAAUCCCUAAGUAGCACACCCAGAUGUUGCUUUGAAUGUGUUUGAUGAGGAUAACCACUUCGUGUAUUCUCUGGUACUUCCAACUGCUUUUGAAAACUCCAAAUAUUGUUAUAGUAGUAGAUUUCUGUUUUAACCCAAAAGUUCCUGAAAAUUUGGAGGUAACAUUUUACAUUCUCUGCUGUCCCUUAGGAACACUGAGAAACAUUCUCUUCAGAUAACUUGUGAUGCACACCAAAUGAUGCUGGUAUGAUUUCUUAGGUUUUUACCACUGGAACACUUUUUGUUUUGUUCUUUUCUUGUUUUAGACUUCCUAUCCUUAUAGACUUAUGUUUGUAGAAAAUACAUGUAGUAGCAUUACAGUUGAUUUUCACAAGGGAACAGGUGUCUUUAUGUUACUGGAGCCUAGUGCCCAGGCCCAAAAAUGGUAGAAAUGAGGCUGGUCAGGCAAAGCUUUUAUUGGAAUCUAUCUAGGUGGGAGACAUAGUCUGGAUCAGGUGGUGGCUCCCUAAAGAAAGAAAAACAGGGAGUUAGUUACAAGAGAGAUGCUGCCCAAAGUUCCCAUCUAGGUCCUUCAUUAAAACAAAGAGCUAAGGCACAAAGACUGCCCUGUCCUAGCAGCUCAGCAUCUACUCUCCGUUGUAGGCGGCUCACUGGUCAUCUGUGACUUCAGACUUCUGUCUUCAUGGACCACAUGUCAACCCUCACUGGGCCUAUUGAGGGCCUAAUUUGUCUGGCAGGGGGAGGAAGUCCUCCUCCCCCAGUUAUCUCUAAAGCACUCGUCUCUCAGGGAUCAGCCAGCAAAACAGAACAAACAACAGGUGCAUAAUAAGAGAUUUACCUCAAGGAAUUGGCUAGUGUAGAAUUGGACCUUAUAAUCUUCUCUAACAUUGCCCAGCUGUACUCCUUAGUUAUAGGUAAAAAUAAAACUCCG
ensembl:lncRNA